rnacentral:rRNA from 2 species
AGAGUUUGAUCCUGGCUCAGGAUGAACGCUGGCGGCGUGCCUAAUACAUGCAAGUCGAGCGAACAGACGAGGAGCUUGCUCCUCUGACGUUAGCGGCGGACGGGUGAGUAACACGUGGAUAACCUACCUAUAAGACUGGGAUAACUUCGGGAAACCGGAGCUAAUACCGGAUAAUAUAUUGAACCGCAUGGUUCAAUAGUGAAAGACGGUUUUGCUGUCACUUAUAGAUGGAUCCGCGCCGCAUUAGCUAGUUGGUAAGGUAACGGCUUACCAAGGCAACGAUGCGUAGCCGACCUGAGAGGGUGAUCGGCCACACUGGAACUGAGACACGGUCCAGACUCCUACGGGAGGCAGCAGUAGGGAAUCUUCCGCAAUGGGCGAAAGCCUGACGGAGCAACGCCGCGUGAGUGAUGAAGGUCUUCGGAUCGUAAAACUCUGUUAUUAGGGAAGAACAAAUGUGUAAGUAACUAUGCACGUCUUGACGGUACCUAAUCAGAAAGCCACGGCUAACUACGUGCCAGCAGCCGCGGUAAUACGUAGGUGGCAAGCGUUAUCCGGAAUUAUUGGGCGUAAAGCGCGCGUAGGCGGUUUUUUAAGUCUGAUGUGAAAGCCCACGGCUCAACCGUGGAGGGUCAUUGGAAACUGGAAAACUUGAGUGCAGAAGAGGAAAGUGGAAUUCCAUGUGUAGCGGUGAAAUGCGCAGAGAUAUGGAGGAACACCAGUGGCGAAGGCGACUUUCUGGUCUGUAACUGACGCUGAUGUGCGAAAGCGUGGGGAUCAAACAGGAUUAGAUACCCUGGUAGUCCACGCCGUAAACGAUGAGUGCUAAGUGUUAGGGGGUUUCCGCCCCUUAGUGCUGCAGCUAACGCAUUAAGCACUCCGCCUGGGGAGUACGACCGCAAGGUUGAAACU